rnacentral:rRNA from 1 species
GCCUGGGGAGUGUGCGACCAAGAGUUAAAUCUGACGAGUAGACAGGACGCCGCACACGCAGUGGAGUUCGUGGUGUAUAUUGAUACUAUACGAGGAACACAACUUGGGUUUGACAUUUAAGAGGUACUGAAGGGAAAACGGAGCGAUCAUUCGAGGAGCCUAAACAGGUGGUACAUGGCUGUUCUCAUCUCGUGCUGUGAGGUCUCGGGCAAUCUCAAGUCAAGAGCAAAACUCUUCACUUGCGUCCAACGGGUCAGAGGGGGCAGUCUGGGGUAAGCGCCGGGGAAAAGGGGGGGAAAUGUAGUGAGCACGGCAAGUCUAUACCGGGCUUCACACCCGGUAUACAGGCCAGUACAAAGGGUAGGGAAAAAGGGAGGCGGCGCGAAUACCAGCAAAUAAGGUUGUAAUUCGGUCUGCAGGUUGCAACCCGUCUGUCGGAAGACUUAGUUGAGAGUAAUUGGCUCUCAGCCAUAGUGCGGUGAAUACGUUCCCGGGGUUUGUACACACCGCCCGUCACGUCAUGGGAGUCGCUAAGACCCGAAGCCGGUGGCCUAGCUCUGAAGAGAGGGCGCUGCCUAGGGUAAGAUUGGUAACUGGACGAAGUCGUAACAAGGUAACCAAGGGCGAA